GGGCUGCGUGGUGAGCUUCAGUUACCUAGGGCCUUGAACUUUUUAUUUUUCUGAGCCACUGGCCAAUUUUAGAAGUCCCACCUGCCUGAGGAAUAUCUUUGCUUCCCUGGUAGCCAUCCCAAGCAAGCUCUGACACAGCCAGAAAAUUUGCUGACUGUACCCAGAGAGUCCACCAGCUGUUCUUAGAGUGAGCAGACUGUUUAUGUGCCCUUCUGGUCAAGUCACACUCAAUGCUGAAGAAUAAGGAGCUCAUUCAGUAAUAGCUGAGUUGCUGCUUUUUUUUUUUUUUUUAAACCCAAAGGCAAAAUUAAAGCAAUACAACAUUUUUGCCAGUCACAUUCUGUUUGAAAAGAUGAAUCAUCCUCAUGUUUGUGCUCAAAGACAUCUGCUUAGGGGCAAGAAUAUUUGCAGGCUAAUUUUGUGCAAGAAUCACCUUUUGACAGCAGAUCAAUAUGAGAAUAUGUGUUUGCUCUGGGGAGGAGGGAGAAAGCACACAUCUUGCCAGUCAGGAGAAAACUUGAAUUGCUCCUUCUCAAAUGGAUCAUGGUAAUGUUUUUACGUAGGUCAAAAAAUCACAGACAAGGACAUAUAAAAAACUAAAGAACGAAAUCUCCAUUUAUGUUUUGAAUAAGACUCAGAAUCUUUUUUUUUUUUUCUUUUUCUUUUUAUGGUCGCACCUGCAGCAUAUGAACGUUCCCGGCCUAGGGGUUGAAUCGAAGAUGCAGCUGCUGGCCUAUGCAACACCAGAUCGGAGCCACAUCUGCGACCUGUGCUGUAGCUUGCUGCAAUGCUGGGUUCUUAACCCACUGAGGGAGGCCAGGGAUCAAAGCUGCAUCCUUACAGAGAUUAUGUCAUGUUCUUAAUCUGCUGAACCACAACGGGAACUCCCUCUCAGUUAUGUCUUAGAAACAACUGUUUACUCUCCCUCUGAUUAACUUUAAAUUGAGGGAGAUGGCAGUUUUAAGCACAUUUGAAACUCCUUCCUUCUUCUGUCUUUCUUGUCCUGGAUGAAGGAGUCUGAUCUGAAGAAGCAGGGGCAGUAUUAAGGACUCAAAGUGACCUUAAGAAGUUUGGGUCACUUUGCUGGUGGCAGGAGAAUGCCUGAGAGAAUUUUCUGUACACAAGAGUCAUUUUCAAUGAAAGUAUUUUCAGUGCAAGCUGUGGAUAUGACUAAAGAGUCAAAAAAUUUCAUUUAAUUUUAGAUAAAAGUGGAAGUGAGUAAAAUUAUUUUUAUCCAUAACUAUGAUGAGAGAAUGAAUACAGGUGGCCAAUUAAAACACUGGAUUUUUUGAAAAGAGAGAAGCCAGGAAUCAAUGAUAAAGACACAUGUUCAUAUAAAGAGAUUAUGCUCAAAAGGUUCUUAACUCUCUUACUGCAUGAUUCCCUCUGUUUCAGAGAGCUGGGGGCAACAAGAAAACAAUUACAUUUAAAAAUUUUUUUUCAUGCUUCCUCUCAUUUAAAAACUGUUUUCAUAAAUCUGCAUGCUCUGUGAACUAGUUUGUCUUUUUUAUUAUACAUGCAAAACCAGUAUUCUCUUUAUCAUGAUUGCUAUUAUUAUUAUUUAACUCUACUCCACUGCUUUCUCUGUUGGUGUCUUGCAUCAUUUCCAGUUACCGUCCUGACGAUCUGCCAGAGGCCAGCUCCGGCGGCCAGGGAGUGUACACUUUCCUGAUAGGAGAUGGACAGAGUUGGCAAAUGUACAUACAGAGACAGCCUCUUUGUCCCUUCUUUCAGGGCGCUGGACUGCUCAAAUUUUAUUGGCAUAAGUGGUUGAUUAUAUAGACAGCUUUUUACUACAGAUUACAUCACAGUGUUAAAAGUACAUUGGUUAACUAUUACAUGGUAUAGCAGCUAUACAUUAUGUUUUAAGAUCUUUAUCUUAACUUAGUGGGUACAAUUUAAGGGCAAUUAGGUAGAAUACAUCAUGUUUUAAGAUCUUUAUCUUAACUAAACUUAGUACAAUUUAAGGGCAAUUAGGUACAAUCCAUCAUGUUUUAAGAUCUUUAUCUUAACUAAACUUAGUGAGUACAACUUAAGGGCAACUAGGUACAAUACAUCAUGUGGAAAGGAGGAGACUCAGUGCAAAUCAUCCCAUGGCCAGCCAGUCUCCACAAGUUGAAGAGGUCACAGACACAAGAAUUUGGCAUUCACAAAUCUUGUUUUUAGACUGGUGCUUAUCUUUAAAAGUGUUAUGGCAGGGAGACAGUGUAAGCAAAUAUAAACCAAAUAACUAGCUAUCACUUAAAAGCUUUUAAAAUCAAGGACAAAACUCACAGCUAGGUUUCAUGGAUAAUACAUGUCUAACUUCUAUGAACCUCAUUAAAAUCCUAACUCUAAAGUUUACUAUAUAACUAGUUAGUAGAUAAACACUAUGUUCUAACUAAGUUGGAUUUAAAUAGGGGAAAGUCCUUCAGGAUGAAAUUCUUAUUAUAUUAUUGUUGUAAUUUUGUUAAAUCACAAAUCACCACAGGAAAAUAAGAAUAAUAAGUAAAUAAUCUGGAAAGACUGAGGAAAACUGAAUAACAAGUGAAUAACAGAAAAGACUAUGUCAUCCAUGGAACAAUCCUCACUCAGCAACGUAAAAUGGAAAUUGUUUCCUGGAAAAUUCAGUUCCAGGAAUCAUCAGCAUGCAAGCCUUAUUGUCUUCUGGGGUCUGUCCUCAAAUUGUGCCCUACAGGCAGACGUCUCCUUGUUUAGGAAUCUGCCCUCAGAAUUGCACCGUUCAGACAGGCCCCUUUUCUUGAUUAGGGGCUUGCCCUCGGAAUUGCAUUGUUCAGGCAAGCUCCCUUCCUCAGCUCCUUGUAUCUCCUCGGCUUCCCGCAGCGAUCCACUUUGUUACACCUGGGGGCUUUCUGAAGCUACCAAACGCUGUGACUUGACUACACCCUGUGUCUAACUAGCUUCAAACCUAUGUGGUUAAUUUCAGCCUAACGGUGUGCUCUAAAGACUAGGAAAAACCAUAGUAUUUUCCAAGCUGUCAUAAAAUGUGACUCAGGCCUUCUGAAGGCAGCCAUGUUCCAAACACUUAAAGGGGUCGAGAAUGAACAUCCGCCCUCAAAAUGAUUGGAAAUAGAACCAGCAGCAAAAUAAGACCUGUCCCUGGGAGUCUUGGGACCUCUCUCACGCCCUCAUGGCUGUACCUGCUUCCAGGGUCUACAACUUGAAGGCAUGUGCUUGUGUUGCUCAGUGGCCCCUUAGAAAAUACAGGAUAUAGGACAGGUGGCCGGCACUCAUGCCAAAGGUGGAAUCCACUCAGCUCAGCAGCCCUCUCCUGUUUUAGUGUGUAAUUCCAUGGAGCUCUUUUAUAUCUAGAAGCAUCCAGAAACGUCCUAUGAGCAUUGGCUAGUUAGUAUUUGCCCUGAUGCUGAGGCAAAGGUGUCUCGUCCCUUUGCUGCUUCCUCUUAUGAGAUCAGUUAGCCCAAGUGAUUGGGUGGAUGAGACUCUGAAGGUCAUUUAGAUUCCGUGAUGGCCCUUGGACUGGAAUGGCCACAAGGGAAGGGGUGGGGGUCAACCGUUUUACUCAAGGUCGUUCUGGAGCUUCCAGAUGGAGACGGCUUUGGAGGCCCUUGUUCAAAGGGCAGGGAGCGCUCAGAGCCCAGAGCAGAAUGUGCCCGGAGAAAGGAUGGCACAGGGAAAGAUGAACUGAAAGAACACAGAGAGCCGGUCCGUUCAGGUCAGGGUCAUCACGGGGCUCUUUAGAGAGAAGCACUGCCGGACCCGGCCAGGGAAGCCAAACAAAAGCCAAGGAGAAGGGCAGGAGGAGGUGGCGCCUUCAAGGACAGUCCCAGGACUGGACCAGGUCAGAACUGCAGCCGCCCCAGAGAUACAGACGCCGAUGCUUGAUGAGCCAGGAAAUCAUUCGGAAUUGUAAACUGAUUUUUUGUGUGUGUGUCUUUUUGCCUUUUCUAGGGCUGCUCCCUCGGCAUAUGGAGGUUCCCAGGUAGGGGUCCAGUCGGAGCUGUAGAUGCUGGCCUACACCACAGCUACAGCGACACGGGAUCCGAGCCGUGUCUGUGACCUAAACUACAGCUCACGGCAAUGCCAGAUCCCUAACCCAUUGAGCAAGGCCAGGGACUGAACCAGUAACCUCAUGGUUCCUAGUCAGAUUCGUUAACCUCUGCACCACAACGGGAACUCCAACUGAUUUUUUUUUUUUUUUUUUAAACAUUGUUUGGCUUUAGUGGCAAUGGUGAUUCAGAGGAUGUGUGAAGGUGGGAUUACAAAGACCUAGAGCUGGAGUUCCCAUCGUGGCUCAGCGGUAAUGAACCUGACUAGUAUCCAUGAGGAUGUGGGUUCCAUCCCUGGCCCUGCUCAGUGGGUUAAGGAUCUGGCACUGCCAUGAGCUGUGGUGUAGGUCUGGGAUAUGGCUUGCAUCUGGAGUUGCGGUGGCUGUGGUGUAGGCCGGCAUCUGCAGCUCCGAUUCUACACCUGUAGACCCACAGGUGUGGCCUUACAAAGCAAACAAACCAACCAACCAACCCCCAAACAAACAAACAAAACCAAAGACCUAGAGCCUUUCAAGGAACACUAAUUCAAUGAGAAGUUAAUGGGUGUUAAGAGGAAAAUAGGAAUUGCCACAUGGCACAGAGGGUUAAUGAUCCAGCUUGUCUCUCUGGAGGUGCUGGUUCAGUCCAUAUACCAGCAGUUAGGUCAUUUUAAAAAAAA
rnacentral:lncRNA from 1 species